rnacentral:misc_RNA from 1 species
UUUCCGUAGGUGAACCUGCGGAAGGAUCAUUAAUGAGUUUUCAUGGGGUUAGAUGCUGGCAGCCAGUUUUUGGAUGCAUGUUCUUGCCCUAACAAUCAUCUUCUUCCAAACACCUGUGCACAUUUUUGAGGUUGUCUUGAGUUGGUUGCCGCUCUUGGGUGUUUUUCUCACAUUCCCUUAAAUCAUUAUACGCUAUUAACCCUGUUGAACGUGAUCUGUGCCGCAAGGAAAUUAAUAUAAUACAACUUUUAACAACGGAUCUCUUGGCUCUC